rnacentral:rRNA from 1 species
AUUGAACGCUGGCGGAAUGCUUUACACAUGCAAGUCGAACGGUAGAGGGGGCAACCCCUUGAGAGUGGCGAACGGGUGAGUAAUAUAUCGGAACGUGCCCAGUCGUGGGGAUAACGUAGCGAAAGUUACGCUAAUACCGCAUACGAUCUAAGGAUGAAAGCGGGGGAUCGCAAGACCUCGCGCGAUUGGAGCGGCCGAUAUCAGAUUAGGUAGUUGGUGAGGUAAAGGCUCACCAAGCCAACGAUCUGUAGCUGGUCUGAGAGGACGACCAGCCACACUGGAACUGAGACACGGUCCAGACUCCUACGGGAGGCAGCAGUGGGGAAUUUUGGACAAUGGGCGCAAGCCUGAUCCAGCAAUGCCGCGUGCAGGAUGAAGGCCUUCGGGCGUGUAAACUA